GACGAACGCUGGCGGCGUGCUUAACACAUGCAAGUCGAACGGAAAGGUCCUGCUUUUGUGGGGUGCUCGAGUGGCGAACGGGUGAGUAACACGUGAGUAACCUGCCCUUGACUUUGGGAUAACUUCAGGAAACUGGGGCUAAUACCGGAUAGGAGCUCCUGCUGCAUGGUGGGGGUUGGAAAGUUUCGGCGGUUGGGGAUGGACUCGCGGCUUAUCAGCUUGUUGGUGGGGUAGUGGCUUACCAAGGCUUUGACGGGUAGCCGGCCUGAGAGGGUGACCGGCCACAUUGGGACUGAGAUACGGCCCAGACUCCUACGGGAGGCAGCAGUGGGGAAUAUUGCACAAUGGGCGGAAGCCUGAUGCAGCAACGCCGCGUGCGGGAUGACGGCCUUCGGGUUGUAAACCGCUUUCGCCUGCGACGAAGCGUGAGUGACGGUAAUGGGUAAAGAAGCACCGGCUAACUACGUG
rnacentral:rRNA from 1 species